GUGGGUCUGAGUGUGCUCAGGGGGAGGUGAGCAGUGAUUUGAGUGUGUUUAGAGGGAGGUGAGAUUGGAUCUGAGUGUGCUAGGGGAAGGUUAGAUUGGAUCUGAGUGUGCUCAGGUGGGUGAGAGUGGAUCUGUGUGAGCUCAGGGGAAGGUGAGCAGUGAUCUGAGUGUGCUCAGGGGGAAUGUGAGUGUGGGUGUGGGUGUACUCAGGGGGAGGUGAGUGUGGGUCUGGGUGUGCUCAGGGGGAGGUGAGCUGUUGAUCAGUGUGGCCUGAAGUGAGUUUGCAGAGAGCAUCAGCAGGCAGUGAUGGGGUCACAUUUUGGAGUUUGGUCUUUGAGCUUUGGCAGGAAGGGGAGUGAGCAGGUGCAAUUGUGCGGUCGGGUUUGGGAUUUGAGGCAGCAUGCUGGGGGCUGGAACUCUGGGGUCCAGGAGACAGAGGGUCUGGUGACUGGAUAUAGGGGGACAGGUUUCCAGGCUCAUGGUGAUAAAGAGUGUCUUCGAGGCCCUCAUCCUUCCUCUAUUCCUCGGCGCAGUUCUCUUCUCCUUGGGCCCAGGGGCCCUAGUCAGCCUUUAGGAGUUAAUGUUUAGGCGGCAGAGGCACAGGGGGGCAUCCCUGGUGCUCCCCCUCCCUGGCAGGUUCGUGCUUGGGGCGGGGCAAGGGGCACUGGAGUGAGACGGAAAGGACAGCGAGCCUAUUGCACAGGCCCCGGGAGGCCUGUUCAGUCAGGACAUGUGGCACCAGUGACCUUGCUGGGGAAAGAAGUCGAGAACUAGGUGUGCAGGCCGGGCACCUCCUGUCCGGGCACCCCUGUGGUGAACCCCCGCGCCCAUCCUCAAGGCCUCAGGCACUCCUGGGCUCAAAGCAGAGAGACCCACCUCAGGCCUCCUCCCUCCAUCACUGAAGAACAAGCAGUAGGAGCCACAGCCACCUCCUCCCCCCUCCCUGCCGCCUCCUCCUCAGCUCAGCCGGCAGGUUGUCUUGGCAACGGGAGGCGGAGAGGAGAUGCGCCCAGGGAUGGAGGUGUAUGUCACCGAGGAAGCUGCCGUGCUCCUGCCUCACGCCCCAGGCCCUUGAAGCCGGAGACAGUUACCCAUUCCUCACGAGCCACCUCGCUCCAGGCCCCUGCCCACAGCUUCCGAGCCGGCAGCAGCUCGUUCCAGCCUUACCUCUGGGACCCUUGCACGGGAAGACAAGCCUCCUGGGUGGGUCUGGUGAGGGGUAGUGAGAGCAGGGGAGGACCCGAGGGGAAGGGAAGAUCAGCGGUGCUGAAGGCUGAGGCGGAAAAGCACCGGCACUUGCUCUUCGGGAGGGUGGAGGGAGGCUGUGCAGGCCUGGGGUGGGGCCAGGGCAGUAAGGCGGGGGCGGGUGGAGGGAGAGAGAGCAGAGAGGCCCGGUGGCCAGGCUGGUUACCCAGAGAAGCCUGGUCCCUCUCUUCAAGGAUGUGGCCCCUCCUGUGACAUCUAAGGUACUCCCCCUCCCACCAUCUCCCUGUGUUCUUCACUGUCAGAUGGGCCCUGUGUUCCCUCCCCCACGCCUGGCUUUCUCAUCCUUUCCAAGGCCCUCUCCCCACCCCACACACAGCAGCUGGACUGUAUCUACUCCUCGCCGCUCAGCAACCUGCCUUCAUUUCUCCUUGCUUUCUGCAGCCCAGCCUUCAGAUUUCAUUCUCCUGCCUCCCAGUAACCCAGACACAUACCUCCUCCCUUCCUGUCCCUACCUGUCCCCUCCUGUCCUCUUCUUUUAGGGAAAAAGGUCCCAGGGAACAUUCUCACUUGCCCCUUCAAGACCCUCCCCUGUGAUUUUUCCAUUCAGGUAUCCCAGAGCCCCCUCCCCAGUCUCUCAAUUUCCCCAAUGACAGCUGAUACAUCAGCUGACCGGCUGUGGGCAGUGGUUACCAGGGCAACGGCAAGAGCUGCCUAGGUAGGCAGGUCUUCCAGGCGGAGGUGGAGAGAGGAGGCCAGGGCCAGGGCCAGGGUCAGCUGGCGGGGCUCCCUCCCCUGCCUGCCUCUGGGGGUCACCAGUGAACCGGGCUCUGCUCUGAGCCCACAGCAAACCGAAGGCGGUGACAGGGCCCUGGAGGUCCUCCCAGAGGCGGGGAAACAUCCUGAAACUCUCUGCUGGGACCUGGGCCCCACCUGGCAGGAAGUUCCCUUUUGACGAAGUCGUCCUGGCAGGAAAUGGGGUUCCUCUCCCUCACAGCACCACCGCUGUGCUCUGUGCAUUUCCGAGGGGACUCAGGUUCCUGAAGGGCUAACCAGUCUCCUGUGCUGAAGACCUGCUUUUCCCAGUCCUCCCAGGAGAGGGGUGAUCCUGGGGUGAUCAGUUCUGGCAGCUGUGCCCACACCCCUAGCUCUCGGCUCCCAUGCCCUUUAUCACCCAGGGAGGCAUGGGCCCCAGAGGCCCCUGUGGCUGCUGUUAGCUGCCGGGCAGGAGAUACAGGUGCUUGGAGGAACCAGAUGUUGUCACCCCUGGGUUAUCAGCAGGGCCCCGUCCCGCUGUGAAGGUCUGGCUGUUUGUGAGGACGCUCUAGGAGCUGAGUGAAUGUGCGAGUGUUGCAGGGUAGGGGUGUGGGAAAGGGGAAAAGGCCGGCGGCUGGCCCAGUCUGCUUCCGAUUCUGCUUCGUCAUGAUGUCGGCUUAAUGCUCCUCUUGUUUGAAAUGGAUUGAGCUACAGCGAGUUGAGCGAGCGA